UUCUGUUAUUAAGGGUCAUUCGGUUUUUGUCAUAAAAAGUUAGGUUUAGGGUUAGGGUGUUAGUUUAAGCUAGUUAGCUAUGUUAGUUUAAGCACUCGAUCUUUUUAGCUAGCUUACAGGCGAAAUGCUAGUAUUUUAGGACAUUGGGUUACAUUGUAAACCUAGCUAGACAGCUAGGCUACAUGCUGCAACACAGGUAUGAAAUAUAUUAUGUCUUAUUGACCUUGUUGUUUCUAUGAACAUGAAUUGUUGUUUAUAGGCAACAUCAAGUCAACAUCAUCUUAAUCGAGGCAUAAAGAUCCCUGGAUAUCUUCAUUAAGUACUUAAACUUAAACGAACUAGCUGAUUAGCCUAAUUAGCUCGCUUGCCACCACUGGCUAGACACUGCAGUCAAAAGGUUAGCGGUUUCGCCGUCACGCCCCUGAGGCGAAAUUUCGCUGGCCGAAAAUCGCGAGGUGUUUCGCUGUGUGGAAACCCACCGUUAGCGGUUUCGCCGUCAAGCCCCCGAGGCGAAGUUUCGCUGUCCGAAAAUCGCGAGGUGUUUCGCUGUGUGGAAAACCACCUGGUACUGGAUGCUGACAGACAACCAGAAAAAAACGAUGAACUCUGACCUAGUAUUCACCCAGCUGAAUAUUGCAAAUUGCUACUAUAUUUCAUCAUUUCUUUAUGCAAAUCGUAUUUCGAUCUUACUUCACUGUAUUUAUUUAUUUAUUUAUUUAUUUAUUUAUUUACACAUUUACCCACCCCCCAAAAUAUCAGACCACUGUACUCCUUGUGUAAUCAUCUAAAAAAGUGGUGAGGUUAUAGAGGCAGUUGGAAAAGGGAAAUGGAAGUUUAACAAGGAUGUUAGAAGACAUAGUUGUGCACUAUGUGAAGUCUGCCAGUCUGAGGCCGGGAUCAGGUCCAGAUAUUACAGAAUCAGCUUCUCAGGUCAAGACAAAUCAAGUCAAGGUGAGAUCUCUGCUUUAUAUCAUAUUAACAGCGUGGGAGCAAAAGCGUACAUGUGCCAGCCCUCAUGCCUCUCCUGCAUAUCUCAUGAAAUACAGUGAACAUGACUUAAUCAUCACUAUUUGUUAGGGAAAUGCAAAAUGCUAUAACAACCUAGGAGGCAACCCCCGUGUCUGCCAUGCUUUUGUGUUAGCAUUAAAAAGUGAUUGGAUUUGGAGUAUCAGCCGUUGGGUAGGGUACCCUUUUUAUUGUUCAGAAAUAUUUAUAACAAUGACUUGUCUGCAUGUUUGUUUGCUGGGUGAGCUGGAUAGUGGAUCGUUGUUGUUGCUUUGCCUUCCCCUGAUCACUCCACCUGAAUUUGGCAUCUCUGCAUUCCUCGCUGAACAGCCAUGGCUACAACUGGAGAUGAAACUACUGGGCCUUCAUCACCUCAUGGAGAGGCACUGUUAAUGCCCCCCCGCUGGACUGGACCCCCCGAAAGGAGGGACAAGCACUUGGACCCGAACAUGGUAUGGACAUCAUGCUGUAGUGUAGUUGUGCCACAGCGUCCCCCAACAAGCCAGUCACUUCUGAGGAGAGAGAGCUCUAGAUCUACUGGUGCUACACUUUAUAGUACAUAAGAAUACUUUUAAGACUCCUCUCUGGUGUACUGAUCUCUGCACCAUAUUCAUUUCACAGAUGAUUACAUGAAGUUUUGACUGCACAAUUAAAGGAUGAUUUACCUCAGCCAUUGGGAGCAGCUCAUCUGAAGCAGACGAAAUGAACUCAAUUUGUCGAUGAUUUUAUCCAACUGCAUAUAAAUUAUAUUAAAUUAUGUUCAUUUGAA